rnacentral:rRNA from 1 species
GUGCCAGCAGCCGCGGUAAUACGGAGGGUGCAAGCGUAGUUCGGAAUUAUAGGGCGUAAAGAGCGUGUAAGCGGCCUUGUAAGUCAGAUGUGAAAUCCCUUGCGCUUAACCAAGGAAGGGNAUCUGAAACUGCUGUGGCUUGAGUACGGGAGGGGGAAGUGGAAUCCCCGGUGUAGCAGGUGAACAUACGUAGCAUAUCAGGGAGGAAACACCAGUGGCGAACGGCGCGCUUCCUGGACCGAUACUGACGCUGAGACGCGAAAGCGUGGGGAGCAAACAGGAUUAGAUACCGUGGUAGCCCACGCCGUAAACGUUCGGGCACUACGGUGU